rnacentral:tRNA from 1 species
UACCCUGUGGUGUAAUCGGUAGCACGACAGAUUCUGGCUCUGUUGGUUGGGGUUCGAGUCCCUACAGGGUAA